rnacentral:rRNA from 1 species
AGUGAACGCUGGCGGUAGGCCUAACACAUGCAAGUCGAACGGCAGCACAGUAAGAGCUUGCUCUUACGGGUGGCGAGUGGCGGACGGGUGAGGAAUACAUCGGAAUCUACUUUUUCGUGGGGGAUAACGUAGGGAAACUUACGCUAAUACCGCAUACGACCUACGGGUGAAAGCAGGGGAUCUUCGGACCUUGCGCGAUUGUAUGAGCCGAUGUCGGAUUAGCUAGUUGGCGGGGUAAAGGCCCACCAAGGCGACGAUCCGUAGCUGGUCUGAGAGGAUGAUCAGCCACACUGGAACUGAGACACGGUCCAGACUCCUACGGGAGGCAGCAGUGGGGAAUAUUGGACAAUGGGCGCAAGCCUGAUCCAGCCAUACCGCGUGAGUGAAGAAGGCCUUCGGGUUGUAAAGCCCUUUUGUUGGGAAAGAAAAGCAGCAGGUUAAUACCCCGCUGUUCUGACGGUACCCAAAGAAUAAGCACCGGCUAACUUCGUG